CCUACGGGUGGCAGCAGUGAGGAAUAUUGGUCAAUGGACGAGAGUCUGAACCAGCCAAGUAGCGUGAAGGAUGACUGCCCUAUGGGUUGUAAACUUCUUUUAUAUGGGAAUAAAACGCUCCACGUGUGGGAUUUUGUAUGUACCAUAUGAAUAAGGAUCGGCUAACUCCGUGCCAGCAGCCGCGGUAAUACGGAGGAUCCGAGCGUUAUCCGGAUUUAUUGGGUUUAAAGGGAGCGUAGGUGGUUUGUUAAGUCAGUUGUGAAAGUUUGCGGCUCAACCGUAAAAUUGCAGUUGAAACUGGCAGUCUUGAGUACAGUAGAGGUGGGCGGAAUUCGUGGUGUAGCGGUGAAAUGCUUAGAUAUCACGAAGAACUCCGAUUGCGAAGGCAGUUCACUGGACUGCAACUGACACUGAGGCUCGAAAGUGUGGGUAUCAAACAGGAUUAGAUACCCCUGUAGUC
rnacentral:rRNA from 1 species